rnacentral:sRNA from 1 species
AAACCUUCAAUUAAUUUAUUAAGACCUCUUUUAACAGCGUCUACCAUACCACCGAUAUGA